GAGGUGAUUUGUAUUUCCUGUCACCAAUGAUUUUCCUUUUCGUGGUUUAUACAUGGAUAUUUAUGAAUGUUUUUAAGUACGAUGUUAUGUGAAAUUUGGACAUAACAGAGAAGACAAUGGAGUAGUGCAUCAUGAAUGGGCCUCCGCAGCUCAGUGAGUUCAUUAGCUUUUGAACAACCAUUCGAUUAGCUUUGGAAAAGGUUGAAGAAGGCAGAGGACCUUGGUAAGUGUUAGUUUCUCAAUUUUGAAUUAGGUCCUAUCAAACACUAAUUGUGAAUACAAGAUGAAGAUGAAUUUGCCUUCAUUUACAUUCAUGAACUUCUAUAUAUACCCUUUGAUCAUCUGCAAUAGGUGGUAGUGAUCUCCCUGUAUU
rnacentral:lncRNA from 1 species